AAGGAAUAUUGCUCAAUGGGAGAAAUCCUGAAGCAGCAACGCCGCGUGGAGGAUGAAGGGUCUAUGACUUGUAAACUCCUGUAAAGAAGGAAAAAAUUCCCAUUUGAUGGGAGAUGAUGGUACUUCUGGAGUAAGCCCCGGCUAACUACGUGCCAGCAGCCGCGGUAAUACGUAGGGGGCAAGCGUUGUCCGGAUUUACUGGGUGUAAAGGGUGCUCAGGCGGAUUUGUAAGUCAGAGGUGAAAUCUUACAGCUUAACUGUGAAACUGCCUUUGAUACUGCAAGCCUAGAUUAUGGAAGAGAGUGAUGGAAUAUCUGGUGUAGCAGUGAAAUGCGUAGAUAUCAGAUAGAACACCAAUGGCGAAGGCAGUCACUUGGUCCAUUACUGACGCUAAAGCACGAAAGCGUGGGUAGCAAACA
rnacentral:rRNA from 1 species